rnacentral:rRNA from 1 species
AGAGUUUGAUCAUGGCUCAGGACGAACGCUGGCGGCGUGCCUAACACAUGCAAGUCGCACGGGGUAGCAAUACCCAGUGGCGAACGGGUGCGUAACACGUGAGGAACAUGACUUCCGGUGGGGGAUAGCCGGCCCAACGGCCGGGUAAUACCGCAUACGCUGCGCGAGGGGCAUCCCUCGUGUCGGAAAGCAGCAAUGCGCCGGAAAGGUGCCUCGCGGCCUAUCAGCUAGUUGGUGAGGUAAUGGCUCACCAAGGCGACGACGGGUAGCUGGUCUGAGAGGAUGGCCAGCCACAUUGGGACUGAGACACGGCCCAGACUCCUACGGGAGGCAGCAGUGGGGAAUCUUGGGCAAUGGGCGAAAGCCUGACCCAGCGACGCCGCGUGAGGGAUGAAGGCCUUCGGGUCGUAAACCUCUGUCGGGAGGGAAGAACGUCGGCGAGGUAAAUAAUCUCGUCGGUUGACGGUACCUCCAAAGGAAGCGCCGGCUAACUCCGUGCC